rnacentral:rRNA from 1 species
GGGGAAUUUUGGACAAUGGGCGAAAGCCUGAUCCAGCAAUGCCGCGUGCAGGAUGAAGGCCUUCGGGUUGUAAACUGCUUUUGUACGGAACGAAAAAGCUCCUUCUAAUACAGGGGGCCCAUGACGGUACCGUAAGAAUAAGCACCGGCUAACUACGUGCCAGCAGCCGCGGUAAUACGUAGGGUGCGAGCGUUAAUCGGAAUUACUGGGCGUAAAGCGUGCGCAGGCGGUUAUGUAAGACAGAUGUGAAAUCCCCGGGCUCAACCUGGGAACUGCAUUUGUGACUGCAUGGCUAGAGUACGGUAGAGGGGGAUGGAAUUCCGCGUGUAGCAGUGAAAUGCGUAGAUAUGCGGAGGAACACCGAUGGCGAAGGCAAUCCCCUGGACCUGUACUGACGCUCAUGCACGAAAGCGUGGGGAGCAAACAGGAUUAGAUACCCUGGUAGUCCACGCCCUAAACGAUGUCAACUGGUUGUUGGGAAUUAGUUUUCUCAGUAACGAAGCUAACGCGUGAAGUUGACCGCCUGGGGAGUACGGCCGCAAGGUUGAAACUCAAAGG